rnacentral:rRNA from 1 species
AUCGAACGCUGGCGGCAUGCCUUACACAUGCAAGUCGAACGGUAACAGGUCUUCGGAUGCUGACGAGUGGCGAACGGGUGAGUAAUACAUCGGAACGUGCCUAGUAGUGGGGGAUAACUACUCGAAAGAGUGGCUAAUACCGCAUGAGAUCUACGGAUGAAAGCAGGGGAUCGCAAGACCUUGUGCUACUAGAGCGGCCGAUGGCAGAUUAGGUAGUUGGUGGGAUAAAAGCUUACCAAGCCGACGAUCUGUAGCUGGUCUAAGAGGACGAUCAGCCACACUGGGACUGAGACACGGCCCAGACUCCUACGGGAGGCAGCAGUGGGGAAUUUUGGACAAUGGGCGAAAGCCUGAUCCAGCAAUGCCGCGUGCAGGAUGAAGGCCUUCGGGUUGUAAACUGCUUUUGUACGGAACGAAAAGCCCCGGGUUAAUACCCUGGGGUCAUGACGGUACCGUAAGAAUAAGCACCGGCUAACUCCGUGCCAGCAGCCGCGGUAA